rnacentral:lncRNA from 1 species
AAAUGGCACAGCUCCACCACCAAGAGAUAAUGUAGCAAGACUCAGUUUUCCAUCACCAUCUCCAUACAGAUCAGGGAAGUAUUGUUUAUCCCUUUUGAUAUUUAUCUUUUGAAAUUGUCCUUAAAAUUAUGUCUUUAAUCUUUCGUUAAUCUUACAUUGAGGACAAUGUAUUAACUAAGUUUGAGGGGUGACAUAAUUUUAAAUCUUUCUAUGUG